GACGAACGCUGGCGGCGUGCUUAACACAUGCAAGUCGAACGAAGUGGCGAACGGGGGAGUAAUACGUGAGUAACCUGCCCUCCUUUUUGGGAUAAGCCUUGGAAACGGGGUCUAAUACCGAAUAAAGGGGGAUGGGCUCGCGGCCUAUCAGCUUGUUGGUGGGGUCAGGGCCUACCAGGGCGGUGACGGGUAGCCGGCCUGAGAGGGUGAACGGCGAACUUGGAAAUGAGAAAGGGCCCAGCAUACUACGGGAGGCAGGAGUGGGGGAUAUUGCGCAAAGGGUGAAAGCCUGAGGCAGCGACGUCGCGUGGGGGAUGUAGGCUUUCGGGUUGUAAACGUCUGUCGCUAUGGAAUGGUUAGGUGGAGAAGAAGCGCCGGCUAACUACGUGCCAGCAGCCGCGGUAAUUC
rnacentral:rRNA from 1 species